rnacentral:rRNA from 1 species
UACAGAGGGUGCAAGCGUUAAUCGGAAUUACUGGGCGUAAAGCGCGUGUAGGCGGUUCGGUAAGUCUGCUGUGAAAGUCCGGGGCUCAACCCCGGAAAGCCGGUGGAUACUGUCGAACUAGAGUGCGGAAGAGGCGAGUGGAAUUCCUGGUGUAGCGGUGAAAUGCGCAGAUAUCAGGAGGAACACCAAUUGCGAAGGCAGCUCGCUGGGACGUUACUGACGCUGAGACGCGAAAGCGUGGGGAGCAAACAGG